AACGUAGGAGACAAACGUUAUCCGGAGUUACUGGGCGUAAAGGGCGUGUAGGUGGUAUCGUAAGUCUGGCGUGAAAUUUCUCGGCUUAACCGAGGCAGGUCGUCGGAUACUGCGAGGCUAGAGGACGGUAGAGGCGUGUGGAAUUCCGGGUGUAGUGGUGAAAUGCGUAGAGAUCCGGAAGAACACCGGAGGCGAAGGCGGCUUGCUGGACCUGGUCUGACGCUGAGGCGCGAAAGCGUGGGGAGCGAACAGG
rnacentral:rRNA from 1 species